rnacentral:rRNA from 1 species
AGUGAACGCUGGCGGUAGGCCUGACACAUGCAAGUCGAACGGCAGCACAGGAGAGCUUGCUCUCUGGGUGGCGAGUGGCGGACGGGUGAGGAAUACAUCGGAGUCUACUUUUUCGUGGGGGAUAACGUAGGGAACCUUACGCUAAUACCGAAUACGACCUACGGGUGAAAGCAGGGGACCUUCGUGCCUUGCGCGAUUGAAUGAGCCGAUGUCGGAUUAGCUAGUUGGCGGGGUAAAGGCCCACCAAGGCGACGAUCCGUAGCUGGUCUGAGAGGAUGAUCAGCCACACUGGAACUGAGACACGGUCCAGACUCCUACGGGAGGCAGCAGUGGGGAAUAUUGGACAAUGGGCGCAAGCCUGAUCCAGCCAUACCGCGUGGGUGAAGAAGGCCUUCGGGUUGUAAAGCCCUUUUGUUGGGAAAGAAAUCCAGCUGGCUAAUACCCGGUUGGGAUGACGGUACCCAAAGAAUAAGCACCGGCUAACUUCGUGCCAGCCGCCGCAGUAA